AAGGAACGUCUACUCUGGGAAUCUGUACGCCUUGUUUGAUAUUGUCAUACCGUAGGACGUUUCAGAAAUGGCCCAAGCGAAACUACCAGUUCAAAAAUCCGAUCCACCUAAAGCCAAAGCGCCCUCACAUGUUAAGGGCCCACAACAUGGUUUGACAAAAAAAGAUCUACAACAUCAUGUGAAGAGAGCACACAAACUGAGAGAUGAGAACACCAAUGACAAUGAUACGUUGUUUUGGGUUGCAGUCGUAAACAUACUCGAAGAGCGUUUACAUCAUAUGAAGUAGGGGUUCAGAUCUGGUUACGUGGUUACAAAUACUAUUGGACUUUUCAAAACUGAAAAAAAAACCUGGACCUCUCACUACCCAAAGCUUUCACUGGACUACUUACUCACUACUUAGAACUUUCACUGGACAACUCACUACCCAGAGCGUUCAGUACUUAAUAUUUAUCUAUAUUAUAUAUUUGUAUAACAGCAAAAUAAACUAAGAUAUUGUGAA